AACAAAAUGAGUUGGAUCAACCC
rnacentral:snRNA from 1 species